rnacentral:snoRNA from 1 species
CCGACGUGUUUGCAAGAUGUGGCUUUCGGGCUGUGUCUUGUGAGAGUGGAGUGUAGCUGCCUACAUAUGCAGUGAUGAGCCCACAACGUCGUAGAUCAUGUCUGUAGUUGACUCACACUUGUGGUUGACAAAGGCACUUGGCAUAUUCCAUAGCCAAACUGGAGUCUAUCAGACUGUGAAGGUGGCAAAACCAUGCCAUGGACAAAC